rnacentral:hammerhead_ribozyme from 1 species
AGCCGAAACGGGCACCAGCAAUGGUGCCCGUCACCAUACUCUGGGCAGGUAUGGUCUGAUGAUGGCAGCCGACA